rnacentral:rRNA from 1 species
CCUACGGGCGGCAGCAGUGGGGAAUAUUGGACAAUGGGCGAAAGCCUGAUCCAGCCAUGCCGCGUGUGUGAAGAAGGUCUUCGGAUUGUAAAGCACUUUAAGUUGGGAGGAAGGGCAGUCAGCGAAUACCUGGUUGUUUUGACGUUACCGACAGAAUAAGCACCGGCUAACUCUGUGCCAGCAGCCGCGGUAAUACAGAGGGUGCAAGCGUUAAUCGGAAUUACUGGGCGUAAAGCGCGCGUAGGUGGUUUGUCAAGUUGGAUGUGAAAGCCCCGGGCUC